AUGGGUUUGAAUAAUACAAAAAACGAACAAACACAAACCAGUUUUGAAAUUCGAAAUGUAGAACAAAAUAUUAUAAUUAAAGAACACAGUGUUAAUCACUUAGAAAUGGAUAAAAAAAAUAUGACCCAUAACAAUGGAAAAGAUACAAAAACAAAUGUAAAUACCGGUUGCGAUUUAGAAAAAUUAAAUUUCCAUUUAUUUCAAGAAAAUAAUAAAAAAAAUAAUAAAGAGAGUAAUAAAGAGAAUUAUAAAAAUAAAUUCGAAGAAAACAAAAUAAUAUCAUUUUUUAUUUAUUUUGAUAUUAUUAAAAAUUUACCUGAAAGAUAUUUUUACCUAAUUAAAGAUACAAAUUUUAUGAUGGAUAUUCACAAUGUGUUUAACUUUUUUAUUUAUAUAAAUAAGGAAUAUAAUAUUUUAGAAAAAAAAUAUGAAAAAUAUAAAUAUACGAAAAUUUUUAAUAAAAUUAAAGAAAAAAAAGAUUAUUAUUAUUAUAAUAAAGCUAAAAUAUAUUUUCCCAUAAUUAUAUCAGCUUUAACAUCUUCAACUUUAUAUUUUAUUCUAAAUAAAACAACCAUCUCAAUACAACAUUCAUUAAUUACGCAAUUUUAUAUUGAUUUUUUUAGUAAUAAAUAUUUAUAUACCCUAUGUAAUAACUAUAUUUAUAUACAAAUUUUAUGUGAAUCUUUAGUAGUGUUAUUGUACUUGAGCAAAUCAAAACAAGACACUACACAUAUACAAAAUGGAACUACCCACAUAAAAGGCGACACUACACACAUACAAGACGACACUAUACACAUACAAGAUAAUUACAAACAAGAGUUUAUAAAAAAUGAAUUAGAUAUACAAACAGUAAAACAACAGAAAGGUGAACAUAUGUUAAUACAAUCUUAUCAAGGAAUAAAACAAGAAUCUACAAAUCCAUUAGUUUGUAUGAAAAUAGAAAAUGAGUAUUUAAAUAGUACCAAUGAUAACAUUACUAAUGUCAGUGCAAACCAUGAUACAACAAAAAAUGUUGCUGCAACAAAUUUAAUACAUCUAUAUAAAUUAUAUACCAUUUUUUUAGAAGAAUAUUUAUAUAAUUUUAUUUCUUCAAUUAUAACACUAAUUAAAAAUAAUAGUUUAUUAUUAAACGAAUCAAGUUUUUGUAAUUUUUAUAAAACUAUAUGUAAUGAAUUAAACAAUAAAAUAAAACAAAAUAAUACAUCACAUUUUAAUACAUUAAUACUUUCAAUUCUUAAUUAUUAUGAUUCUUACAAUACAAAUACCAACUCGUUUAAAAAAUAUAAAGUAGAUAACAGAAUAAUAGAAAUAUGUGAUAUAAAAAACAAUAUUAAAAUGUUACAGAGAGUAAGAUAUAAUUUUUUAAAUACAUUUUAUCAGAAUACUCUUUCUUGCGAAUUAUAUUCAAAAGCUUAUUUAAAAAAUAUUAUUUCUGUUUUUUUUCAAAACAACAUUAAAACGUGUAAGUUGGGUAGCCAGGAUAUGGAUGGCUUAGUAAAUUUGGUUUUUAACAAUUUCCACAAAUAA
rnacentral:lncRNA from 1 species